GUACGUACUGGUAUUAUUGGUUUCUCCCUUCUGACGAACUAUAAUGCCAUUAAUUUGGUGUUUUAGGGAAUCAGGACUGUUACUUUGAAAAAAUUAGAGUGUUUAAAGCAGGCUCACGCUUGAAUACAUUAGCAUGGAAUAACGGAAUAGGACGUUUGAUUCUAUUUUGUUGGUUUCUAGGAUCGACGUAAUGAUUAAUAGGGAUAGUUGGGGGCAUUAGUAUUCAAUUGUCAGAGGUGAAAUUCUUGGAUUUAUUGAAGACUAACUACUGCGAAAGCAUUUGCCAAGGAUGUUUUCAUUAAUCAAGAACGAAAGUUAGGGGAUCGAAGACGAUCAGAUACCGUCGUAGUCUUAACCAUAAACUAUGCCGACUAGGGAUCGGAUGAUGUUAAUUUUUUAAUGACUCAUUCGGCGCCUUACG
rnacentral:rRNA from 1 species